UCCCAUUCCCUUACAAUCACUGUAGUUAAGCAACACUGAGGCUGGUAAGUACCUAGAUGGGUGACCACUUGGAAAUACCAGGUGCUGUAA